rnacentral:rRNA from 1 species
UACGGAGGGGGCUAGCGUUGUUCGGAAUUACUGGGCGUAAAGCGCACGUAGGCGGCUUUGCAAGUUAGAGGUGAAAGCCCAGGGCUCAACCCUGGAAUUGCCUUUAAGACUGCAGCGCUUGAACAUCGGAGAGGUAAGUGGAAUUCCGAGUGUAGAGGUGAAAUUCGUAGAUAUUCGGAAGAACACCAGUGGCGAAGGCGACUUACUGGACUAUAGUUGACGCUGAGGUGCGAAAGCGUGGGGAGCAAACAGG